CGUCAGUGUGAUCCUGAGUGAGUCCGUUGGCUUAACCAUAUCCCAAAUUUCAUCCCUAACAUCCUCGAUGCAUAAUUCAUAGUUUCCACCCUCAAUCCAUUUCUGGUGCACAUCUCUGAAAAGAGAGUGAAUAUCAGCUGUUGUUAGGUAUCCCCGACCAUGAAGAUCAAGACAACGAAAUAAAUAUGUUAAACCUUCUGGAGUAUCUUUGUUUUCUAAGGCCAGAAGAAAGUCCAGAAAACUUUCAAAAUCCAUCUCCCGUGCAUGUCCUCCUCCACUUUUGCCACGACGAACAUGCUCAUCAAACAC
rnacentral:misc_RNA from 1 species